rnacentral:rRNA from 1 species
CAGUAGCCGCGGUAAUACCGAGGGUGCAAGCGUUAAUCGGAAUUACUGGGCGUAAAGCGCGCGUAGGUGGUUUGUUAAGUUGGAUGUGAAAGCCCCGGGCUCAACCUGGGAACUGCAUCCAAAACUGGCAAGCCAGAGUACGGUAGAGGGUGGUGGAAUUUCCUGUGUAGCGGUAAAAUGCGUAGAUAUAGGAAGGAACACCAGUGGCGAAGGCGACCACCUGGACUGAUACUGACACUGAGGUGCGAAAGCGUGGGGAGCAAACAGGAUUAGAUACCCCUGUAGUCCCUGUCUCUUAUAC